rnacentral:rRNA from 1 species
CAGUAGCCGCGGGAAAACGGAGGGAGCUAGCGUUGUUCGGAAUUACUGGGCGUAAAGCGCGCGUAGGCGGUUACUCAAGUCAGAGGUGAAAGCCCGGGGCUCAACCCCGGAACUGCCUUUGAAACUAGGUGACUAGAAUCUUGGAGAGGUCAGUGGAAUUCCGAGUGUAGAGGUGAAAUUCGUAGAUAUUCGGAAGAACACCAGUGGCGAAGGCGACUGACUGGACAAGUAUUGACGCUGAGGUGCGAAAGCGUGGGGAGCAAACAGGAUUAGAUACCCCCGUAGUCCCUGUCUCUUAUAC